UGAGAGGAUGAUCAGUCACACUGGAACUGAGACACGGUCCAGACUCCUACGGGAGGCAGCAGUGGGGAAUAUUGCACAAUGGACGAAAGUCUGAUGCAGCAACGCCGCGUGGAGGAUGACACAUUUCGGUGCGUAAACUCCUUUUAUAUGAGAAGAUAAUGACGGUAUUAUAUGAAUAAGCACCGGCUAACUCCGUGCCAGCAGCCGCGGUAAUACGGGGGGUGCAAGCGUUACUCGGAAUCACUGGGCGUAAAGAGCAUGUAGGCGGAUUGAUAAGUUUGAAGUGAAAUCCUAUAGCUUAACUAUAGAACUGCUUUGAAAACUGUUAAUCUAGAAUGUGGGAGAGGUAGAUGGAAUUUCUGGUGUAGGGGUAAAAUCCGUAGAGAUCAGAAGGAAUACCGAUUGCGAAGGCGAUCUACUGGAACAUUAUUGACGCUGAGACGCGAAAGCGUGGGGAGCAAACAGGAUUAGAUACCCUGGUAGUCCACGCCCUAAACGAUGCACACUAGUUGUUGUGAGGCUAGACCUUGCAGUAAUGCAGUUAACACAUUAAGUGUGCCGCCUGGGGAGUACGGUCGCAAGAUUAAAACUCAAAGGAAUAGACGGGGACCCGCACAAGCGGUGGAGCAUGUGGUUUAAUUCGACGAUACACGAAGAACCUUACCUGGACUUGACAUAGUAAGAACUUUCUAGAGAUAGAUUGGUGUCUGCUUGCAGAAACUUAUAUACAGGUGCUGCACGGCUGUCGUCAGCUCGUGUCGUGAGAUGUUGGGUUAAGUCCCGCAACGAGCGCAACCCUCGUGUUUAGUUGCUAACAGUUCGGCUGAGAACUCUAAACAGACUGCCUACGCAAGUAGGAGGAAGGUGAGGACGACGUCAAGUCAUCAUGGCCCUUACGUCCAGGGCUACACACGUGCUACAAUGGGGUAUACAAAGAGCAGCAAUACGGUGACGUGGAGCAAAUCUCAAAAAUAUCUCCCAGUUCGGAUUGUAGUCUGCAACUCGACUACAUGAAGUUGGAAUCGCUAGUAAUCGUAGAUCAGCUAUGCUACGGUGAAUACGUUCCCGGGUCUUGUACUCACCGCCCGUCACACCAUGGGAGUCGAACUCAUUCGAAGCGGGGAUGCUAAAAUAGCUACCUUCCACAGUGGAUUUGGCGACUGGGGUGAAGUCGUAACAAGGUAACCGUAGGAGAACCUGCGGUUG
rnacentral:rRNA from 1 species